UCUGCUCAGGAUGAACGCUGGCGGCGUGCUUAACACAUGCAAGUCGAACGAUGAAGCGGUGCUUGCACCGUGGAUUAGUGGCGAACGGGUGAGUAACACGUGAGUAACCUGCCCUUGACUCUGGGAUAAGCCUGGGAAACUGGGUCUAAUACUGGAUAUGACCUUCCAUCGCAUGGUGGUUGGUGGAAAGCUUUUGUGGUUUUGGAUGGACUCGCGGCCUAUCAGCUUGUUGGUGGGGUAAUGGCCUACCAAGGCGACGACGGGUAGCCGGCCUGAGAGGGUGGACGGCCACACUGGGACUGAGACACGGCCCAGACUCCUACGGGAGGCAGCAGUGGGGAAUAUUGCACAAUGGGCGCAAGCCUGAUGCAGCGACGCCGCGUGAGGGAUGAAGGCCUUCGGGUUGUAAACCUCUUUCAGUAGGGAAGAAGCGAAAGUGACGGUACCUGCAGAAGAAGCGCCGGCUAACUACGUGCCAGCAGCCGCGGUAAUACGUAGGGCGCAAGCGUUAUCCGGAAUUAUUGGGCGUAAAGAGCUCGUAGGCGGUUUGUCGCGUCUGCCGUGAAAGUCCGGGGCUUAACUCCGGAUCUGCGGUGGGUACGGGCAGACUUGAGUGAUGUAGGGGAGACUGGAAUUCCUGGUGUAGCGGUGAAAUGCGCAGAUAUCAGGAGGAACACCGAUGGCGAAGGCAGGUCUCUGGGCAUUAACUGACGCUGAGGAGCGAAAGCAUGGGGAGCGAACAGGAUUAGAUACCCUGGUAGUCCAUGCCGUAAACGUUGGGCACUAGGUGUGGGGGACAUUCCACGUUUUCCGCGCCGUAGCUAACCGGCAUUUAAA
rnacentral:rRNA from 1 species